rnacentral:misc_RNA from 1 species
GGAACGUGUUUAGAACUUAUUAACGACGCAGGCAUUUUUAUAAUAUGGGUUGUAAUUAAUUUUAUCAAGGGUAGCUACAUUUUGAUCUCAAUUAUCUCGUCCAUCAAGGAAAUGUUGUAUUGUUAACGAAAUGUUUGCGUGUCGUUUAUGCUGUACACGACAUAAUUAUAUCGUAUAAAGAUGUGACUACUUUGAUUUGUGUCAAUACAACAGUAGCCAUCGAAUAUGAAGCACACGUUUAUUUUCGUUUUUGUCGUCGUUUGCCUAGCUCUAUGCUGGGGUCAAAAAGACUUUCAAAGUGUAAUUGGUGAAUUUCAAGAAGAAUCUAAUUAUUUGAAGCGGGUAACCAGACAAAGUAAGCCACCUAUGCCUGAAAUAUCCAAACCGCCAAAUAUGCCGCCUCCACCAGAUAUGACGAAUAUACCUAAUAUACGAAAAAGAAGAGAGGCUAAAGGAACCGGUGGUUCCCUGCCAACUCGGAAGGGAUAAUUUUCUUACAGUUUUUUAUUAUCGGCUGGAUAUAAAAAUAUACAAUUGACAGCAAGAAAUCUAUAUUCAUUUAUUUAUUACCUACCUUUUAGAGAACCGCCUUUACUAUAUUACAAAUAAUAAAAUACAAACCCUAAACCAAAUAACUUUUAAGCAUCCUCUUAUGUUUAUGACAUGUGUUUAUUUAAAUUUGAAAUUAAACACUAACAAUAACUUAAGUAUUAUUAUUGUUAAUCUAUACAUGUACCUAAUAAAAUGGUAGGAAAGUCAAAACUGUACAUUGAAUAUUUUUUUAAAAGAAUACUUGGGGUGUGAUUACAAUCGAUACCGAAGCUAAAAAUAUA